rnacentral:rRNA from 1 species
GACGAACGCUGGCGGCGUGCUUAACACAUGCAAGUCGAACGGAAAGGCCCUGCUUUUGUGGGGUGCUCGAGUGGCGAACGGGUGAGUAACACGUGAGUAACCUGCCCUUGACUUUGGUAUAACUUCAGGAAACUGGGGCUAAUACCGGAUAGGAUCUCCUGCUGCAUGGUGGGGUUUGGAAAGUUUCGUCGGUUGGGGAUGGACUCGCGGCUUAUCAGCUUGUUGGUGGGGUAGUGGCUUACCAAGGGUUUGACGGGUAGCCGGCCUGAGAGGGUGACCGGCCACAUUGGGACUGAGAUACGGACCAGACUCCUACGGGAGGCAGCAGUGGGGAAUAUUGCACAAUGGGCGGAAGCCUGAUGCAGCAACGCCGCGUGCGGGAUGACGGCCUUCGGGUUGUAAACCGCUUUAGCCUGUGACGAAGAGUGAGUGACGGUAAUGGGUAAAGAAGCACCGGCUAACUACGUG